UGUAAGGAUCUGUUGCUGAAAUUUUGAUCUAAUCUUAAAUCUAAUUUGUUCUCUUUGCUAGGGCUUCGAUUUUCUUUCACAGAGAACACAAAUCAAAGUUGGAGCAGUGGAGUUUUACGGAUCGAGAUUUGUUACUUGACAAGCUUUCAACCGGUUAAUUGUUUGUUGGAUUUGAACCAUCUUUUGAUUCUUAAAACUCUGGUUUGUUCGAUUGGAACCAUCUCCUGCUUCAUCGUCUUUUCAUGGUGGUGUUUGUCUUCAAAAUUAUGUUCAUUUUGAUAUAUUUUUGACGUUUAUUAUAUUGUAAUUAUUCAUAAUAGCUUUUACAGAUUUGAUUCUUUUGAUUUCUUAUUUCACUAGUUGGAUUCUCAUUUUAACAAUUGAUUGAGAGAAAUGAUUUAGUAGGAGACGGUUCAAAGAAUUUGAAGUGAGUUAUUUUUAUUGUUUUUUGAGAAAUCAUCUUAAGAGUGAAUGGAUGUGGUCUAAAAGUGGGAUUUUAAAUACUACAAUGGUGUCUUGCUGUUUUUUGUUGUGAACAAUUUCUUAGAUGGUUUGAUUUUACAACAUGUGGUUUUGUGGAAUCGUAGAUUGGUGAUGCCAAUACAUUCAUUUAUGAUGGUAAUUAAAUCCAUAUGAGAUGUGAAUUCGUGGUGAGCUAUCACUGCAUGGUAUGAGAAAUUUUAGAAAUUUUCUGGUGUGGAGAAAGUUUCUGGUUAAAAUACUUGCAAAGGAUGUGAAUUCGUGGUGAGCUAUCAAUGCAUGUUAUUGGCAUAAUGCAAAAUGAGGUUUGGGACAAAGCCAAAAGGAUUCUGUUGGAGUGGUGGCUUUACGAUUGGCCCUUGGAGCAGAAACAGCUCCCAAGAGUUCAUGUUGCAGGGUGCGCUUGUUGAAUGAAUCAGAGAAGUUAAGGUUCCUCUACAACAGGCUAUUGCGACACUUUUUUGCCGUCCCAAUAGGGCAUCAUUUUUUUAGUGAUUAUGAAGUGGUAUUCGUUAAUGAAUCAUUUGGAAUUUGUAAUUUUCAGGUGUCUGUGUUUGAGGCAGCUGUGAAGCAUGGGAACAAGGUUCAGAAGAUAUGACGACUUGAUUUCAUUUUUCACUACUUGUCUCUUUCUGCGUUUGGUUUGUUUGGAUAUAAGCAACAUUAACAUUUUACUAAAGUUCACAGUUGAGUUUGUUUUUUAGUUCGCUUAUCUUCAGUCUUGUUCUACAAACAAAGCUGUGGUGAUUUUGGUGCUGGAGGUACAAGUUUUGGAGGAUGAGAAGGUAGUGGUGGUGGCCAGCAGCGGUUCAUGUGUGUCUGUUGAAAGUAUUGAGAUUCUUUCCAGUUUAAACAUCCCCUGGGUUAUUCUCAACCUCUUUGAAAGCAGUGCUUUGCUAAAUGAAUCAAAUGAGAGCCAAGAAAGCAUAGGCAGUGAAACUGAUGGUGGUUGCAAUUGAAGUUGCAGAAUGGACUUAGUGGUAAGAUUAGAUGUAUGCUGAGGUCUGUCUCUCUAAAUCUGAGGUCAUUGCACCUUAUUCUGCUUCCAGGUGGCACACAACAGGCAAUAUACAAAAGAGACUCUUAUAAGGAAAAGAGCAUUCUUAUUGUUUUCAGUUCUUCUACCACAAAGUUUACACAAGAUGUGCACAUGAGAUAUGAAGACGUUGAGGUGAAACUUUAUUUCAAGCAGUGAGAGUAUGAGAUGCAAGCAAUGCUGAGCUUCGAUACUCGUGUUGUUGGAAGUAUACUGCGAAGACAUUGAGGCGUUUUUUUGGACAGUUCAUGUGUUGGCUUAUGGAGUAUCUACCUUAAACAGUGCAGUUGCUUGUAAGAAAUGCCAAAAGGAACCGCAGUCAUGGUUUGCUUAUUUGUGGUAUUGGUCUCGCUGGAACUGGAGUUGACGCUGAAUACACAAGUCAGAUGCAUGUGUAACUCUCAAUUACACUAGAU